UACAGAGGUGGCAAGCGUUGUUCGGAAUUACUGGGCGUAAAGGGCGAGUAGGUGGCCAUCUAAGUCAGACGUGAAAUCCCCCGGCUUAACCUGGGAAUGGCGUUUGGGACUGGGAGUCUGGAGUACGGCAGAGGAGACUGGAAUUCCUGGUGUAGCAGUGAAAUGCGUAGAUAUCAGGAGGAACACCGAUGGCGAAGGCAGGUCUCUGGGCUGAUACUGACGCUCAUGCACGAAAGCGUGGGGAGCAAACAGG
rnacentral:rRNA from 1 species